AUGGCUUUCUGGCUGAACCUCAUGCCCUUGUUAGUUGUCCUCAGAGGAGUCCAGUCUCAAGUCCAGUUGGUGGAGUCUGGAGGGGAUAUGAGAAGACCUGGGGAGUCCCUCCGUCUCUCCUGCCAAACCUCUGGAUUCACCUUAAGUAGCUCCUGGAUGCACUGGGUGAGACAGGCUCCAGGAAAAGGACUUGAAUGGGUGGCACACAUAAACCCUUCCAGUGCUACUUACUAUUCAGACAAAGUCAAGGGCCGCUUCACCAUCUCCAGGGACAAUGCCAAAAGCCAGCUGUAUCUGCAAAUGAACAGCCUCAAAGCUGAAGACACGGCUGUCUAUUACUGUGCAAGAGACACAUGAUCUGGCUUUAUAAAGAACUACUACUACUACUACUAC